rnacentral:rRNA from 1 species
GAUGAACGCUGGCGGCGUGCUUAACACAUGCAAGUCGAGCGGAAAGACGAGGAGCUUGCUCCUCUGACGUUAGCCGCGGACGGGAGAGUAACACGUGUAUCACCUCCCUAUAAGUCUGGGAUAACUACGGGAAACCGGAGCUAAUACCGUAUAAUAUAUUGAACCGCGUGGCUCAAUAGUGAAAGACGGUGUUGCUGUCACUUAUAGAUGGAUCCGCGCCGCAUUAGCUAGUUGGUAAGGUAACGGCUUACCAAGGCAACGAUGCGUAGCCGACCUGAGAGGGUGAUCGGCCACACUGGAACUGAGACACGGACCAGACUCCUACGGGAGGCAGCAGUAGGGAAUUUUCGGCAAUGGGCGAAAGCCUGACGGAGCAACGCCGCGUGUGGGAUGAAGGCCUUCGGAUCGUAAAACUCUGUUAUUAGGGAAGAACCAAUUUGGAAGUAAAUAUGGAGGUCUUGACGGUACCGAAUCAGAAAGCAACGGCUAACUACGUG